GCUCGUCGGGCUCAUAACCCGAAGGUCGUUGGUUCAAGUCCAGCCUCCGCAACCA
rnacentral:tRNA from 1 species